AAAGUGGUACGCUCGUACUAGAAAGACGCACGACGGCGGACUCUGCCACCCGGUGCGGUCAGC
rnacentral:ncRNA from 1 species